rnacentral:rRNA from 1 species
UACGGAGGGUGCAAGCGUUAUCCGGAUUCACUGGGUUUAAAGGGUGCGUAGGUGGGUUGGUAAGUCAGUGGUGAAAUCUCCAGGCUUAACUUGGAAACUGCCAUUGAUACUAUCAAUCUUGAAUGCCGUGGAGGUCAGCGGAAUAUGUCAUGUAGCGGUGAAAUGCUUAGAUAUGACAUAGAACACCAAUUGCGAAGGCAGCUGGCUACACGAAUAUUGACACUGAUGCACGAAAGCGUGGGGAUCAAACAGGA